rnacentral:rRNA from 1 species
CGCAAGGUGAGUGGCAGACGGGUGAGUAACGCGUGGGAACCUUCCCUUUGGUACGGAAUAACUUCGGGAAACCGAAGCUAAUACCGUAUAAGUCCUUCGGGAGAAAGAUUUAUCGCCAAAGGAUGGGCCCGCGUUGGAUUAGCUAGUUGGUAGGGUAAAGGCCUACCAAGGCAACGAUCCAUAGCUGGUCUGAGAGGAUGAUCAGCCACACUGGGACUGAGACACGGCCCAGACUCCUACGGGAGGCAGCAGUGGGGAAUAUUGGACAAUGGGGGCAACCCUGAUCCAGCCAUGCCGCGUGAGUGAAGAAGGCCUUAGGG